CGUGUUAAAAUGACGAGGGUCGAGUUUUACAAGGAUCGUAAGAAUUUAGCGAGAGAGACAAGGAACUGUCUAUUAUCCUUAUUCUUAAUCACGUUCUCCAGUACUUAGUCCUUCUCUCUGUUCCUUUCAUUCCCUUAUUCUCUUUUUCAAUAUAGUUCUCUCUUUGUUUCGCCCAGGCGAAGAUGGUGAUAGUGAUCGAGAUAGAAGACCAGAGCACGAAGAAGGCUUUUCUGGGUGGCUGGAGAAAUAUUCUAACCAGAACGGAAUAUCACAACGCCUGUACACAGACCUUACCAAAUUAUGUAAAAGGCUCUUGGGAUAGAAGAAGCAGCAAAUCAACCCAAACCAUAAGUAUCAACCAUAAGUCCACAAACGUAUCGCACGACAAAUACAUCCAGGUUUCGGUAGACAUUAGUCGCGUGCCUUGCGUGACGGAUAGAAUUAUUAUAGCGACCAGAAAGAGGAACGUCGUUCCCUCGAAAGAGGAGAAAAUAUACUUACGGAACUUGAACGAGAGUGCCAUAAAGAUUCAAAGAUUUUAUAGAGCGUAUCGCGCGAGAAUAAAGGCGCAACCCUUGCUGAACGUUCGACGAUUGGAGAGGACGAGUUUUCAUGAAAAAUUUGAAUGCCCGGUAACCUUGAAGAAGAAGAAAGAAAAUGCGAAGAAGGAAUUUAAAAUCAUAUUAAACGGCACAUCCGGAUUAAUGAGACAGGCUGAUUUUGAAAUGCUACGAAAUCUACUGGAACGAUGGUGGCGCUGCGAAAUGGAAAGAGCCAAUCGCGUCUAUUUUAGGAGUUCGAGGCUCGCGGCACAUAACCUCAUAUUGCAGAAGGAAGUGGAGCUACUUCGAGGCAUCGACUGCAUCAGGUCGCAGGUUCGUAAGGAGAACGAAGAACUUGGAGAUCUUCGAUACCUUGAAAAUCUGGCACGAGCGCCAUCUUGGAAAAGUGACAGUGGAAAAACAGUGAUUAUGGAAACUCUGCGAGUCCAGCGUGCCAGGGAGUAUAAAAAGAUGUACGAACAGCUGUGCAGUGAUAAUCUAAGCAGAGUGGAACGUGCGGAAUUACUUUUGAGGUUGAAAAGGCUACUGAAGUCGCACUCGUGCCGACCUGCCGAAGAAUUAGUGUAUUUAAUCGAUCAGGAGAUGGACCUGUUGGUUCGUCAUAUUGAUUCUAAAUGGACUGAUCAACUAAGGAAUCGUUUGAAAUUCGCUUUUAUUUUGUUUGUUCGUAGCUUCGGUUUCUCUCAGGACGUCACUGAUAACAAGAGAACGUCCAGGGACGUCGUCCUCGAGAGGAAAACUAAACUUUGUACAAGAUGUCAGAGAUUUCUUCCUUAUCAGAAAUUUCCCGUUGACGAGCAUCAGCGUAUAUCUAUCUGUGACGUUUGUCAGCGUCUACGAAGAACCAUAGAGCCUUUUCCUCUCUACGAACCGUAUGAAAGGAUGCUGCGUGCGAUUAGACGAUCGGAAGCCAAAGCCAAGGCCUACACGAGUGUCGCCUUUCUGGUAGGUCCAAAAGUUAUUUAUCAUCUGGUGAAGAACAUCUGGCACGGGAAGUCCGGUAUAUCCGAAUGCGAUGAUCUAGAGGAAUUGCAACUAGUACGUUUUCGUCCAGAGGUGGAGUGGUCCCCAUGGAAUUCACUGGUUCUUACGAGAAACGAAGCAGCGUUACACAGAACGAUAAGGAAUCUACGUGAAGUUUACGAUGCGCGACUCUUGAGAAAGUUUCUCAACAAGAAUUUGCAAGCGGAACUUUAUUUCGAGUCAAUUACCAAGUUACAGAGACGGUUCUUCGAAUCAUCUUGAAUAGAAAAGAAGUGUAACUUGACAAUCAGCUGUGCACACGAAGGACGGGAACCUCAUCCUUCCCUCCUACCCCCACGGAAACAGACUCCUAUUUAAGAAAAAUUUGAUUAGGCAGUACCAGAGGAACUACCGAAGCCAUUCAACCUCGUUCCCCUCGUUUGCGAAGAAACGCGCCCCGUGGGUAACGUUACAAGUAGAAUUUCUAAAGAAAGGAGAAAGUAGGAUAAACCUCGAAAUCUCCUACCAUUCGAAGAAACGAUCAUGGUUCAAGUUGAAUUACGCAAGCGAACUUUCCAGCAGUCCCGAUGUCCAGGAGUUCAAUUCGCGAUAAUACUUACACGUCAG